CAGCUCAGUAGUUUAUGUGUAAGAAUACUAGCUUUGGGGGUUAGGGGUUCUCUUGUGUGAGGUUGGCUGA
rnacentral:tRNA from 1 species